AGAUAAACAGCAAAUCAGUUGGCUUAAAUAUUGCUACUUACAAAUCAACACAAAUGUUCUUCCCAAAAUAUAAAGUUUUAUUUGUGGUAGAAGUUUUAGCUCUGGGUUUGGUUCAUGGCCAAGCUGAAAACGGAUAUUGUUACCUUGGCAGAAUAUUCGAUCCACUUCUUGGGUGCAGAAAAUCAUGUGAUGGUUUUCUAGUUUCGCCCACCGGCAGAUGUGAUGCUGGUCUACGUUGCUGCUUUUUAAGCAGUCCUCCGGAGACUACGAAGAAACAACCACCAGUUUCUCUUCCGCCCAAGGUUACGAAAAUGGAACCUCCAGUCACUCAAGCAAUGGAUGACGUAAAGAUUGAGAAAAUUAGACAGCCGCAAACCUUUGAAGACAUAACAAUCCCUCAGGAUUGGAGAUUGUGGUCGGGUUUGUGGCGCUAGCAGGAAAAUCAUUUAGUUACUACAAUUCAAUAAAGAAUUGCUUGUCAACAAUUAAA